AAUAAUUUUUUAACCUACUAUAUAUUAAAAUGACACUUUUAUUCUUUAUUGAUCAAGGAUUAAGAUCUUUUUUAUUCUUUAUAAAAUAAAGUACCGAAUCAUUUCUCAUGACCCUUUUUAACCUACUAGGUAAUUUCUGUGUUGAACUAAAUACAAAAUUAAUAUAUUUUUAUUUAUUUUAAAAUUAUAUUAAAUAAAAAUAUUUUAUAUGAUAGAAAUUUAAUUAUGAGAAUAUUUUGCGAAGCAUUACAUUUUUAGCGAAAAAUUUAUAAAUCAAACGAAAAAGUUUAGAAUGCACCGAUAAUAUUGCUGAUGUAACGCCACUAACUAAUCAGAUUAUUUUUUUGAUUCAUCCAUCCCAUUAUAAUUAUUAAAAAAUCUUUUUAUAAUAUUUUUUUUAUAAAAAACUAUAAUUAACUAAUUAUUAAUGAUAUAGUAUAAAUAUAGUACAGUAGACAAUUUCUAAUCAAACAGGGGUGAAUGCGACACCUUUCUCUUAUCUCCAAAAUUUAACUCUACUCAAUGAGUAGAUUUAAUUUUUCUACUCAACUGCGGCUUGAAGAAUUGGAAAUAAUAUAUAGGGAGUGAGACUUGAGAGUGGCCGUUAGAGAAGGGUAUUUUAAAUAUUUUUAUAUUUAACACACCGCAUUUGAAUUCGCAUCUAAAAGAAACACAGAUGCGGAUAUGGUUCCAUCAAAUAUCUCGAUAUAUUCAACUAUUUUUAUCCCUAUGGAACGAUCAUGAGAAAAAAAAGCAGAGAGCAUUAACGAAUUUAUGGAUGCAAAUAGAUUCGGGUUGGUGGAACUCCUGUUCUGAUUCGUUUCGAAUCAAACGGUAAUUGGGAAUCAAAAAUAUUUUUUAAAAAAACUUAUUUCAAAUUCAUUCCUAUUUGGUAAAACGUAAAGCAAAAAAAUUACUUUCUUUCAUAAUGAAACAUAAAUAAAAAC
rnacentral:lncRNA from 1 species